CGAAGUCUGAACAGAGUGAGGGUCAGAGAGAAUUUUAGACUCAACAAACCUCAACUUAAUGUGAUGACAUUUGGGAGAAUUCUAUAGUGUCUGCAUAUUCUGGUCACACUGAUCACACUGGUCACACUGGUCACAUUGAUCACACUGGUUACACUGAUCAUGCUGGUCACACUGGUCACACUGAUCAUGCUGGUCACAUUGAUCACACUGGUCACAUUAAUCAUACUUGUCAUACUGGUCACAUUGAUUAUACUGGUCACACUGGUCACAGUGGUCACAGUGGUGACACUGAUCAUGUUGGUCACAUUAAUCACACUUGUCACACUGGUCACAUUGAUCAUGCUGGUCACAUUGGUCACACUUGUUAUAAUAUCACACUGCUCACAUUGAUCACACUGAUCAUACUAGUCACAUUGAUCACACUGGUCACACUGCCUUCACUGGUCACAUUGAUCAUACUGGUCACACUGAUCACACUGAUCACGAUCACAUUGAUCAUAGUGUUCACAUUGAUCAUGCUGGUCACACUGGUUACAGUGGUCACACUGAUCACACUCGUCACAUUGAUCACACUGGUCACAUUGAUUACAUUGGUCACAUUGCCUUCACUGGUCACAUUGAUCAUGCUGAUCACACUGGUCACACUGGUCACAUUGAUCAUGCUGGUCACACUGGUCAUGCUGGCAUCAGGC
rnacentral:lncRNA from 1 species